rnacentral:rRNA from 1 species
GAUGAACGCUGGCGGCGUGCCUAAUACAUGCAAGUCGAGCGAACAGACGAGGAGCUUGCUCCUCUGACGUUAGCGGCGGACGGGUGAGUAACACGUGGAUAACCUACCUAUAAGACUGGGAUCACUUCGGGAAACCGGAGCUAAUACCGGAUAAUAUAUUGAACCGCAUGGUUCAAUAGUGAAAGACGGUUUUGCUGUCACUUAUAGAUGGAUCCGCGCCGCAUUAGCUAGUUGGUAAGGUAACGGCUUACCAAGGCAACGAUGCGUAGCCGACCUGAGUGGGUGAUCGGCCACACUGGAACUGAGACACGGUCCAGACUCCUACGGGAGGCAGCAGUAGGGAAUCUUCCGCAAUGGGCGAAAGCCUGACGGAGCAACGCCGCGUGAGUGAUGAAGGUCUUCGGAUCGUAAAACUCUGUUAUUAGGGAAGAACAAAUGUGUAAGUAACUAUGCACGUCUUGACGGUACCUAAUCAGAAAGCCACGGCUAACUACGUG